rnacentral:lncRNA from 1 species
CAACUUCGUAAAAAAGUAAUAUAUUAAAGACAUAUUUUAGUGGUAAGUAGGAUAACGUUUAAUUUUUAUGGAUGAAACGGAAAGCGGGGAAAAGGGGGGGGGGGCUAAUUAUAUUUUUAAAUAAACAGGAUGUGAUCUUUAUUUCUGAUGAUAAAAUGCAGAAUGUGCCAUUACAUCCACCACCCCCCCCCCCCCCUUAAAAAAUCGUAAAAAUCGCG